UACGAAGGGGGGCUAGCGUUGCUCGGAAUCACUGGGCGUAAAGGGUGCGUAGGCGGGUCUUUUAAGUCAGGGGUGAAAUCCUGGAGCUCAACUCCAGAACUGCCUUUGAUACUGAGGAUCUUGAGUUCGGGAGAGGUGAGUGGAACUGCGAGUGUAGAGGUGAAAUUCGUAGAUUAUUCGGCAAGAACACCAGUGGGCGAAAGGCGGCUCACUGGCCCGUA
rnacentral:rRNA from 1 species